AGAGUUUGAUCCUGGCUCAGAAUUAACGCUGGCAGAGUGCAUAACACAUGCAAGUCGAGCGGGACUAUCUGCGAUUACAUCAAGGGUAGUUUAGCGGCAGACGGGUGAGUAACACGUAAGGAAUCUGCCCUCGAGAGGGGAACAACCCGCCGAAAGGCGGGCUAAUGCCCCAUGGAAUGAGACUUGGGCAUCCAGGUCUC
rnacentral:rRNA from 1 species